AGAAUCUCCAAACCAUUUGAGUACAACAAAUUUUCAACCAUCAUCAUAUACCCAUCCAAUUCAUAAGUUGAAGACAUAUUUUGACUAGUACUUUACUCUAAGCAUUCCCUCUUUUUAUAUUGGUCUUAGAAGUAAGUAGAUGUUUUUAUUUUUUUCACACCAAUACAAUAAAAUUUGGCUUCCAUGAUACCUUAAAAAGAAAUAUAACUGCAUGGU
rnacentral:misc_RNA from 1 species